rnacentral:rRNA from 1 species
UACGUAGGUGGCGAGCGUUGUCCGGAUUUACUGGGCGUAAAGGGCGUGCAGGCGGUUUGUUAAGUGCAGGGUGAAAGCUCCCGGCUCAACUGGGAGAGGUCCUUGCAUACUGGCGAACUCGAGGGAGGCAGAGGAAAGUGGAAUUCCCGGUGUAGUGGUGAUAUGCGUAGAUAUCGGGAGGAACACCUGUGGCGAAGGCGGCUUUCUGGGCCUUACCUGACGCUGAGACGCGAAAGCCAGGGGAGCGAACGGG